rnacentral:rRNA from 1 species
UACGUAGGUGGCGAGCGUUAUCCGGAAUUAUUGGGCGUAAAGGGUGCGUAGGCGGCUUAUUAAGUCUGUGGUUAAAGUGCGGGGCUCAACUCCGUAUUGCCAUAGAAACUGGUUGGCUAGAGUGCAGGAGAGGGUAGUGGAAUUCCAUGUGUAGCGGUAAAAUGCGUAGAUAUAUGGAGGAACACCGGUGGCGAAGGCGGCUACCUGGCCUGUAACUGACGCUGAGGCACGAAAGCGUGGGGAGCAAAUAGG